AGAAGGGCGGCCGAGAAGCUGUCAAAGUAAAUCCCGGCUCGCCUCUCGGAUGGUUUAAUUCCAACGGCGCAUGAAACACCCCAGGACGGUUCAUAAGUUUAGCCAGGCGUGCUGUUCUCCCUAAUACAUUUUAAUUACGCAUCCGUUCUAACUGCAAUCAGAUCAAGCCAGCGGAAAAGGCACCAAUCGGAAUGCCCGGCGGCCAGCCCCGCCCGGCGUUCGGAGGAGCGGCACCUCGUGCCCCGCCGGCACCCCGCUCCCUGUUCCCGGCACGGGACGCCCGAAGUCGCGGCAGCACCCGCCAGAAGGGCAGGCUGGCAGCGAGCUGUCAACGGCCCCGUCAACGUCCCCGCCGCCGGCACCGGCGAUCCGGGCUCCCCGCUCCCCCGGCCCCCAACCGUCCGGCCCGGCCCGGCCCCGCCGCCGGCAGGUGUGCCCCCGCCCGCCGUACCUGUCAUCGUAGCAGAAGUCGGCGCCCAGCGUGUUGAGACUUGGCAGGAAGGAGUCCUACCCAUGGCACACCUGUGAUGGAGGGUUCCCUGCUUCUCUCUCUGUUAGAGUGGGCAUCUGCAGGGACUUCUGGGCUUCCAGUGUUGCAAAACCAAAGUAAACUACUGAAAAGUGGCAAGGAAACAAGCACACCCCAAGGCCAGCACUAGUUAUUAACAUCCUGCCUCCAUUUUCUGCCAGCCACUCCUUUGCAACCAUUCCUGGUGUUUUCUAUCAAGUGGCCAUCACAUUGCCCCAGAAGAAUGGGAGUCUGUACAGUAAGCUGCAUCAAAUAAAACGGAAGGCUUUUAACAACUUCUCUUA